AUUGAACGCUAGCGGGAUGCCUUACACAUGCAAGUCGAACGGAGUGGCAAACGGGUGAGUAAUGUAUAGGAACGUGCCCAGUAGCGGUGGAUAACUACGCGAAAGCGUAGCUAAUACAGCAACCUCUUGGAGCGGCAGAUAUCGGAUUAGCUAGUUGGUGGGGUAAGGGCUCACCAAGGCGACGCUCCGUAGCUGGUUUGAGAGGACGACCAGCCACACUGGGACUGAGACACGGCCCAGACUCCUACGGGAGGCAGCAGUGGGGAAUUUUGGACAAUGGGGGAAACCCUGAUCCAGCCAUCCCGCGUGUGCGAUGAAGGCCUUCGGGUUGUAAAGCACUUUUGGCAGGAAAGCGGUACCUGCAGAAUAAGCACCGGCUAACUACGUGCCAGCAGCCGCGGUAAUAC
rnacentral:rRNA from 1 species